CGGACGGGUGAGUAACGCGUGGAAAACCUGCCGUAUACUGGGGGAUAACACUUAGAAAUAGGUGCUAAUACCGCAUAAGCGCACAGCUUCGCAUGAAGCGGUGUAGAAAAACUCUGGUGGUAUACGAUGGUUCCGCGUCUGAUUAGCUAGUUGGUGGGGUAAUGGCCUACCAAGGCAACGAUCAGUAGCCGGCCUGAGAGGGUGAACGGCCACAUUGGGACUGAGACACGGCCCAAACUCCUACGGAAGGCAGCAG
rnacentral:rRNA from 1 species